rnacentral:rRNA from 1 species
GCUUAACACAUGCAAGUCGAGGGGCAGCAUUUUAGUUUGCUUGCAAACUAAAGAUGGCGACCGGCGCACGGGUGAGUAACACGUAUCCAACCUGCCGAUAACUCGGGGAUAGCCUUUCGAAAGAAAGAUUAAUAUCCGAUAGUAUAUUAAAACCGCAUGGUUUUACUAUUAAAGAAUUUCGGUUAUCGAUGGGGAUGCGUUCCAUUAGUUUGUUGGCGGGGUAACGGCCCACCAAGACUACGAUGGAUAGGGGUUCUGAGAGGAAGGUCCCCCACAUUGGAACUGAGACACGGUCCAAACUCCUACGGGAGGCAGCAGUGAGGAAUAUUGGUCAAUGGACGAGAGUCUGAACCAGCCAAGUAGCGUGAAGGAUGACUGCCCUAUGGGUUGUAAACUUCUUUUAUAUGGGAAUAAAGUAUUCCACGUGUGGGAUUUUGUAUGUACCAUAUGAAUAAGGAUCGGCUAACUCCGUGCCAGCAGCCGCGGUAAUACGGAGGAUCCGAGCGUUAUCCGGAUUUAUUGGGUUUAAAGGGAGCGUAGGUGGAUUGUUAAGUCAGUUGUGAAAGUUUGCGGCUCAACCGUAAAAUUGCAGUUGAAACUGGCAGUCUUGAGUACAGUAGAGGUGGGCGGAAUUCGUGGUGUAGCGGUGAAAUGCUUAGAUAUCACGAAGAACUCCGAUUGCGAAGGCAGCUCACUAGACUGCAACUGACACUGAUGCUCGAAAGUGUGGGUAUCAAACAGGAUUAGAUACCCUGGUAGUCCACACAGUAAACGAUGAAUACUCGCUGUUUGCGAUAUACAGUAAGCGGCCAAGCGAAAGCAUUAAGUAUUCCACCUGGGGAGUACGCCGGCAACGGUGAAACUCAAAGGAAUUGACGGGGGCCCGCACAAGCGGAGGAACAUGUGGUUUAAUUCGAUGAUACGCGAGGAACCUUACCCGGGCUUAAAUUGCAUUUGAAUAAUCUGGAAACAGGUUAGCCGCAAGGCAAAUGUGAAGGUGCUGCAUGGUUGUCGUCAGCUCGUGCCGUGAGGUGUCGGCUUAAGUGCCAUAACGAGCGCAACCCUUAUCUUUAGUUACUAACAGGUCAUGCUGAGGACUCUAGAGAGACUGCUGUCGUAAGAUGUGAGGAAGGUGGGGAUGACGUCAAAUCAGCACGGCCCUUACGUCCGGGGCUACACACGUGUUACAAUGGGGGGUACAGAAGGCAGCUACCUGGCGACAGGAUGCUAAUCCCAAAAACCUCUCUCAGUUCGGAUCGAAGUCUGCAACCCGACUUCGUGAAGCUGGAUUCGCUAGUAAUCGCGCAUCAGCCAUGGCGCGGUGAAUACGUUCCCGGGCCUUGUACACACCGCCCGUCAAGCCAUGAAAGCCGGGGGUACCUGAAGUACGUAACCGCAAGGAGCGUCCUAGGGUAAAACUGGUAAUUGG